rfam:Populus trichocarpa scaffold_5_contig_254, whole genome shotgun sequence.
UAGUCUGUUUGUGGCAUAUCCCCAUCUAGCUAUGAGAAAUCUCUAUAUAACAGCUAAAACCCCUUAAUUUUUACAAGUCAAACUACAUUAUUCUCCCUAGGUUGGAAAGUACUCAUCCUUGAGUUUUAGUCAUCACGUUGUCGUUGACCACUUUUAGA